AGCAGUAUGGAUAACGUACGUUUUCUUCAUACACAAUUUUAUUUAAGUGAUCAAGUCAUAAACGAUUAUAUGAAUUUAAUCAAUGAACGUAAUUUAAACGUUUAUUGCUUUGACUCAUAUUUUUUUGUAAGCCUCUGUUUAAGAGGAUAUGAUGGUGUUAAACGUAUUGUAGGAAAACUAAAAUUUGAUUUAUUUUCAAAAAAAAAACUUUUAUUUCCUAUUUGUUUAAAAAGUCACUGGACCUUGGUCUGUGUAAACCUUGAAUCCAAAGAAGUUCAAUAUUAUGACAGUCUCCAUGGUCGUAAUAUUGCAAGUCAAGAGACUAUAUUCAAAUUUUUAAAUAACGCACAUCUCCAAAUUAAUGGAUCACCAUUACGUACAGAAGGUUGGAAAAUAUUAACUGUACAAAAUAUCCCUCAUCAGAAGAAUGGGUAUGAUUGUGGAGUUUUUUUAUGUACGUAUGCUGAAUAUUUAGCAAGGGGUGUCACAUUCAAUUUUUCUCAGGAACACAUGUUAUCGUUUAGACAAUUAAUUGCAUACGAGCUAACAGUGAAAAGGUUAGUGGAUGUAAAUGUCGAUGCAGAAUAUAUAGAUUCGUUUAUCAUGAGUGUUAUAAACUCAUGAUAAAAAAUCUAUGUUGUAAAAAUCAAUUUUUAUACCCAUUGAUUUUCACUGGGAGUUAAUAUACUUAAAGUUGUCUAAACACUCUGAAUGAGUUUUUUUUGUGAAAAGUUGAGUAUGAUACAACUGGUUGUGCUCAUUGUUCAGUAAAUAUUCAGCUUCGAUACAUGCCUAUAACCUAUAGGUUAUAACCAUUCUUUUGACAAGGGAUAUCAAACACAUCAAUAAAAUAUCAUUCUAAAUUGCAAUUGAAUAUAGUAAUACACAUACUGGGAUCCAGUGAUUAUUGUUUUUUAAAUUAAUAGAAAAAGUUAUUUUUUUUGUUAAAUUAUCAGAUUUUUUUUUUUUAUCAGACGUUUAACAGAGGAAUAAGCUUUCUUUUAGUGAGGUUUCAAUAAAAUAUGUGUCAAAUCAUAUAUAAUGUUUGGAGUAUGUGAGGAUAUCAGAUUCAUGUAAUUGUUUAUGACAUUAAUUGACAUUUAUCUAAAAUCAUUACAUCAAUAGUCAUCAUUGCGAUGUUCCAGUCAUACUUCUAGCCUUUACAAAUUCCACACAUUCAGGAUAACUAGUUUAUUCUGAGAACUCAUGUCUAGUGUCACAGACCAAUUUUUGUGUCAUAAAUUUGGUACAGUGAAUAAAAGUAGAAAAAAUGACAUUUCAUUUCACUUUUUUUUAUCCGUUACGGUGAAGGUUCAUUGAUAUAUAUGUAUAUGUAUACCUACAAAAAUAAUUUUCAUGGAUUUAAGAAAAUUACACUUCUGACAUGUAUCUUGCUAAAUCCAUUAGAGGACUAAGAAUCGUAGAAAAAGUUUGUUUAGAAUACUCACGAUAUUCAUAACAAUUUUAUUUAAAGAAGACUUUUAGUCGUGUGGUAUCAGUGAACCACUAGUUUGAUGUCAAUUAUCCAAGAGUUUUUCAUUAGAAGAAAUAGAAUUAUACUAUACUUACUAUGAAAACAUUCCAAGACACGUGAUUU